rnacentral:rRNA from 1 species
GACGAACGCUGGCGGCGUGCUUAACACAUGCAAGUCGAACGGAAAGGCCCUGCUUGCAGGGUACUCGAGUGGCGAACGGGUGAGUAACACGUGGGUGAUCUGCCCUGCACUUCGGGAUAAGCUUGGGAAACUGGGUCUAAUACCGGAUAGGACCGCACUUUAGUGUGUGUGGUGGAAAGUUUUUUCGGUGUAGGAUGAGCUCGCGGCCUAUCAGCUUGUUGGUGGGGUAAUGGCCUACCAAGGCGGCGACGGGUAGCCGGCCUGAGAGGGUGUACGGCCACCUUGGGACUGAGAUACGGCCCAGACUCCUACGGGAGGCAGCAGUGGGGAAUAUUGCACAAUAGGCGCAAGCCUGAUGCAGCGACGCCGCGUGGGGGAUGAAGGCCUUCGGGUUGUAAACUCCUUUCGCUAGGGACGAAGCUUUUUGUGACGGUACCUAGAUAAGAAGCACCGGCUAACUACGUG